CGGCGACCCCGCCCCGCGCACACCCCCGGCGCCGAGCUCCGCCCCUCCCGGGGAGCCAUUGUUCCUGAGGCGGGCGGGGGCGCGGGCCGGGGUCGCCGAUCCCUCCGGCUGGCCGGACAGCGCGGAGGAUGCUGGAGAGCGCUGCGGGACAGUGUCUCAGAAGCCCUUUGUGAGCCUUUCCCACGCGCCUUCUAACCCUGCAGGAGCUCAGGGGGUCUUUCGUGUGUUUUCCAGGUGGAGGUAAAGGCAAAAGGUGACUUGUCCAAGAUCUACACCUCUAAUACCAUUUAUGGUUUGCCUUCAACCUCUGAGCUGUUAGCCUGGCACUCCCUGAUGCCCUGAACCAAGAGUGACCCAGCCCCUUCCUGCUCAGCUACAGCAGAGACCUCCUUCUGAGGUGAGACUCCCAGCAGCCUCUCUGCUAAAGCUUGAUGCUCCGGAUACUUCUUCCAUGAACAGUGUCUUCACACUCCCCGCCCCAGUAUCCUGCCUUAAGUUUCCAUUUGCCUGCUAAUCGUGGCCCAGGCAAAAAUACAAAGAGGGCUCAACCUUAUUUAAACUGAAAGCAAAUAACCCUAGGUCAUGAAUCACAA